rnacentral:rRNA from 1 species
CGUUCCCGGGUCUUGUACACACCGCCCGUCACACCACGAAAAGUCGGCAACACCCGAAGCCGGUGGCCUAACCCGCAAGGGAGGGAGCCGUCGAAGGUGGGGCUGGCGAUUGGGGUG